ACACAAAAGUCAAACACAAAAAUAAACAGACGAGAAUAAAAAUAUAAAAUAAAAAAAAAAAAUUUUUUCUCUGUUUGCAAAAAUUUUUUUUAUUUUUUUUUUAUAAUAAAAAAAAAUACAAAAUAUUCCUUUUUAUUUUAGUUAAAUAUUAUUUAGUAAAAAACAAAUUUAAUAAACAAUUUAAAAGAAAAAAAACCCAAAUGCACAAUGGAUUCAAAGGGUGAUGAUUCCGGCAGUGAUACUCUUGAUCAAUCCUUGCAGAAAAAAUGCGUGGUCGCCGACGAUGACAGUUCAACAUCUAAAAAACAGCCGGAUGCAGCAGUGAGCGAAAAGAAUGCUGCAGACGCCCCAACCACCGAGCCCGGAGGAAUCAAUAUGUCUGACCCCAAAGAUUCACCAGCAUCACCAUCGCCACCACCACCACCAACAACAACACAAUUGUUGUCAUCAUCGCCGACAACAAUUAUUAACAUUUCAGAAAAUAACAUUCUUCAAGUUGAGUCUGCUGCUGUUGCCGUUGCCACUGCCACUGCCGAUGGCGAUUUAAUUGUUGCUAGAAAUAAUGACAACACUACGACGAGUAGCAGCAGCAGCAGCAACUCAAAUUCGAAAGAAGACUCUCGAGGCUUCGAGUCGAAAGUUAGACAGAUUUCAGACGAUCUUAAAGACACGACUUUGGCCGAUGAGAAUAGUUUAGAAAAGGUCGUUGUCGAUGGCCAACAACAAAAAGAUUCGUUGGUGACACCUUCCUCCGAUGAGACUGUUGUUGCUACUGCUGCAACAGCGACAACCUGUGUCGAUAUAAAAAACGAUAGCGAUGGUUAUGAUUCGGAUAGGACAAUAACCUACGAAUCGCCAUCGAAAAAAUCAUCUAGUUCGUCGGAUAAAAAGAAAUUAAAGAAAAUUACGAAAAAAGUUCGAUUCAAGUAUAAUCAACAUGGUAAAGUGUGUCCCGAUGAAGGUGAUGAUGAGGACGAUGAUGAUGAAGAUACUUUGAAUGAAGGAGGUCGGAGUAAAAGUAUAUUAGAUCCUUCGCAAUUUCCAUUGUCCUUUGAGUCGGCACACGAUGAGGAUGAUGAUGUUGUUAAUGAUGAUGGAAGUGGUGUACUACAACUGGUCGCUGGCGAUGCCGAUUUGGUGGAUGAUGAUGAAUUGCCGCCGGAGGAGGGUGGAGUUCAGAGUAUUUUGGGAAAAGUUUCGCAAAUGGGCAAGAUUGAAUAUCUCUUCCGAUGGGUUGAUAAGCCCGGCGUUCAGUGGGAAAACGAGGAAGUGCUCAAAGAAAUUUGUCCAAAUUUAAUCAAACUAUACGAAGAGCAACGUGCUAAAGAGCGUGAACAAGAUAUGCAUUUUGCAGUUCGUCGUAAAAAAACUCGUCAGGGUCUUAGGAAUGUUUAAAUAUUUAUAAAUAUAUUUUUUUUUUUUUUCAAAAAUCAACUAAAAAUAACCUAUUUUUGUUUAUAAAACAAUUCCGGAUAAUUCCAAGAGCUACUAAACAUAACUCCGGUUCUCUUUCUAAACAAAAAAAAAUAAAUAAAUAAAAAUAAUAAAUUUGCAGCAGCGCUAUAAAAGCAACAAAAACAAUUUAAAGGAAACAAACUAGUUAUGCAAAAACAAGAAAUUAAGAAAUAACAAUUAUAAGCGAAAUGUGAACGAACUCAGUUUAAUUGCCUUACUUUUUUUAAGAAAAGGGCAACAUUGGACAUUUUUAUACGGACUUAAUAUCCAUAGAGACUGAAUGAAGAAGAUGAAAACAAGUUCAGCUUCUACAAGCUCCACGCUAAAACAUAUGAGCAAUGUCCAUAUAACGAAAUUAAAAUGAGCGAUUGGGAGAUUUCAGGGUCAAUAUUGUAAAGGACAUCACUUCCGGAAACGAACUAAAUUUCUACCGCAAAUGAAAACAUCAACAAGAGAAUUUUCAGAAG